rnacentral:rRNA from 1 species
AUUGAACGCUGGCGGCAGGCUUAACACAUGCAAGUCGAGCGGGGAGAUGUAGCUUGCUACAUAUCCUAGCGGCGGACGGGUGAGUAAUGCUUAGGAAUCUGCCUAUUAGUGGGGGACAACAUUCCGAAAGGAAUGCUAAUACCGCAUACGCCCUACGGGGGAAAGCAGGGGAUCUUCGGACCUUGCGCUAAUAGAUGAGCCUAAGUCGGAUUAGCUAGUUGGUGGGGUAAAGGCCUACCAAGGCGACGAUCUGUAGCGGGUCUGAGAGGAUGAUCCGCCACACUGGGACUGAGACACGGCCCAGACUCCUACGGGAGGCAGCAGUGGGGAAUAUUGGACAAUGGGCGCAAGCCUGAUCCAGCCAUGCCGCGUGUGUGAAGAAGGCCUUUUGGUUGUAAAGCACUUUAAGCGAGGAGGAGGCUCCUUUAGUUAAUACCUAAAGUGAGUGGACGUUACUCGCAGAAUAAGCACCGGCUAACUCUGUGCCAGCCGCCGCCGUAA